rnacentral:rRNA from 1 species
AGUCAUUGUAGCAAUACAAGGCAGACGGCACAUUAACGCGUAGUCAACCUAACCUAUGGACGGGAAUAACCUCGGGAAACUGAGAAUAAUGCCCGAUAGAACACUAUAUCUGGAAUGGUUUGUGUUCCAAAUGAUUUAUCGCCGUAGGAUGGGACUGCGGCCUAUCAGUUUGUUGGUGAGGUAAUGGCCCACCAAGACUAUUACAGGUACGGGCUCUGAGAGGAGUAGCCCGGAGAUGGGUACUGAGACACGGACCCAGGCCCUAUGGGGCGCAGCAGGCGAGAAAACUUUGCAAUGUGCGAAAGCACGACAAGGUUAAUCCGAGUGAUUUGUGCUAAACGAAUCUUUUGUUAGUCCUAGAACCACUAACGAAUAAGGGGUGGGCAAGUUCUGGUGUCAGCCGCCGCGGUAAAACCAGCACCUCAAGUGGUCAGGAUGAUUAUUGGGCCUAAAGCAUCCGUAGCCGGCUCUGUAAGUUUUCGGUUAAAUCUGUACGCUUAACGUACAGGCUGCCGGGAAUACUGCAGAGCUAGGGAGUGGGAGAGGUAGACGGUACUCGGUAGGAAGGGGUAAAAUCCUUUGAUCUAUUGAUGACCACCUGUGGCGAAGGCGGUCUACCAGAACACGUCCGACGGUGAGGGAUGAAAGCUGGGGGAGCAAACCGGAUUAUAUACCCGGGUAGUCCCAGCUGUAAACUAUGCAAACUCAGUGAUGCAUUGA